UGCCGCCGCCCGCCGCUCCCCUCACGCAGCCCGCGGGGAAGGGGCCGGGAGCGUUUUGGCGGCGGCGGCUUGCGCGGUGCUACGCGGAUUUCCCUCAGCUCCGCUCCGGCGGCGGGACGGGCCUCUGCGAGGGAGAAGGGCUGGCUGAGGCCCCCGAGGCGCCGCCGCCGCCGCCAUGGCCCGGCGGCUCUUGUGAGGGGACCCUGCGCUGCGGCUUCUCCUGCCCCCAGCGAAAUGGUGCCCAGAGCCGGUCAGGCGUAAAGCCGCGCUGAAGCGGCAGCGCCGCGGUCAUUUACACCGCGCAGCUCAUUUCUGAGGGGCCGGGCAUCCCCCGUCUGUGCCAUCCCGCCGUGCAGCAACCCGCCUCUUGUGUCCUCCUCACACCUGUGAACUAAGAUAAUUAGAAAAUAGAUACUUGUGGAACAGAGUUACUGAAAGCAAUUUAAGCUCUUUUAACCAUUUAACCAUUGUGCUGCAGAACAAAUACUAAUCUUUUGAGGAAUGGUUUGAAUAACUGUAGGAUAAGGAACUCAUAAAUAAUCUUACUUCAGACGGUUCGGCCUUGUAGUAGCCGGUGUAAAGAAACGGAAAGAUAAGGAAGAUGCAAAUUAGCAACAAAACCAGAUCAGGCCAGCCUUGAAGGCCAAGAUCUACCUGAGCACAGGACUGGGCUUGCACAGAGGUAAGGGUCAACUGGUGAACACUGAAGAAAACUACGAACCUUCAUCUAAAGAACCCCCAACGACCACCUGAAGACUCCCAACAGACAUGCACAAGAGACAUUAACAUAUGCUAAUGAGUUUGCAGAAAAAUAUGAAUAUGAUAAGACUAUGAUAAAAAUGUAAUUAAUAUUUAUGAUGACGAUAGUAUAAAUGCUUCUUGAUUUCAUUCUCUCACACACAGACGUUAGGAGGAGCCAUCCCCUGUGUGUCCGGCUCUGUAAUAAAGAAUGCCUGCUUUCUAAAACUCCAAAAUUGAGUCUUAGAGAGUGAAUUAAUUACCGCUUUCCAGUAACACUACCAGAGCCCUUGUGAAAGCAUAAACCCAUGGCAGGCCCUGCAGUGCAUGCUCUGGCUGCCACAACAUUUAAUGCGAGAGCAAUUUAAUAUAAGGCUGAAAGUGUAGGUACCCUUAGGGUACAGUAUCCUUCCUCUGAAACUGAAAUAAAACAUCUCAGGGGGCAAAAAAGCCUGAUCUCACCGCUCUGAAAGUGUGGUGGUUAGGAGUGAAGUCAGCUCACAAAUACAGUGAAGGGAAGCAGAAUAAAUAUUGAAAAAGCUAUUAACUGCCGAGUUGGGUCUAGACAUUUGCUCAUUGCCAGACAGGGAAGCCAAGGAGCCUGAGUGCCUACACGCAGGAGGACAAGGGCUCUGUGAAGCAAGAAAAUUUCAAGGUAGGCUGUUGUCACACAGUUGUGCUCUGUUGUCACUGAAUGCAAACUCCCCAAACUGCAAGCCGCUGUAGCAGUCUAUAGAUGCUAGGCUUUCCGUGUACUCUGCAGCAGUGAGGUUUGUCCCACAUCCACCCUUUCUAUUUGAGAUCUGUGAAGGUGGAGGCGUGUGGGAGAGUCGGAUGAUGAGUGGGAGUGAUGUGAGACACCAAAAUCUGUCGCUGCCACCAUCUGCUCUGUCACCUGAGCAAACCUCUGCACUAGCCCAUCGUUGGGACAGCCUUGUCACCUUCCACCUCUUCUGGUCUCCUUAAACUCACCUGGGUCACAAAGUGACUUCCAGAGUGUGGAGGUGAGAAGAGAAGGUCCAUGUGUAUGCGCAGAGCAGCAGGGCAGCCUGGAGGAGCUGGAGCAGAUGGGGUAUCCUGGAAGGGCUCUGGAGGACGUGCGAGGAAUCCCAGGCAGUGCAGAGGGAAUGCAAGAAAGAUACUACCCCACAACUCAAUACGAGUCCAUGCACUCUUCAUACAAUCCAUUGCCAGCUUCUCAUCCUGUCAGCUACCUCUCCUUGGAGAGGAAAACCGAGGAGCAAGAACCAGGCUGUAGUGGUGAUGUGAGAUGCAGAAACAGUGAUGGGACCAGCACAAAACCAGGGGGUUCUGGAGGCGGAGGAAUCAUUGCCAAGGCAGCAGCGGAGGAUGCUGACACAUGAAAAAGUAAACAAACAAAAGCCUGUCGCAAUUAAACAUUCUGACACAGAGUUCAAAUUAAAUUGCCUUAUGAUUUUGU